CUGAGUUUUUGUACUCUAUAAACCAUGUGUGAACGUACCUAUCUUGUAGUGAGAUGAAUGCUGUUUUGGUGGUAGGGCCCUUCUGAAGAGAGGGCACCGCUGCCAGCAGUAUUAGUCUUCGCCACUGUAAAACUCUUUUUAUUAUUUUCUAGAUUUUUCAUUGCUGAGUGGCAUAACUAUAAAAAAGUUAAAACUUUCAACAACGGAUCUCUUGGCUCUAGCAUCGAUGAAGAACGCAGCGAAAUGCGAUAAGUAAUGUGAAUUGCAGAAUUCAGUGAAUCAUCGAAUCUUUGAACGCACAUUGCGCCUGGCAGUAUUCUGCCAGGCAUGCCUGUCCGAGCGUCAUUUCACCACUCAAGAUUAUUCUUUCUUGGCGUUGGAGGUCCUGUUCUCCCCUGAACAGGCCGCCGAAAUGCAUCGGCUGUUAUACUUGCCAACUCCCCUGUGUAGUAUAAAAUUUCUAAUUUUUACACUUUGAAGUUCUUGUGUAACACGCCGCUAAACCCUCAACUUUUGUUGAACUUUCACAA
rnacentral:rRNA from 1 species